rnacentral:rRNA from 1 species
UACGGGGGGGAGCAAGCGUUGUUCGGAUUUACUGGGCGUAAAGGGCGCGUAGGCGGUCAGCACAAGUCAGUUGUGAAAUCUCCGAGCUUAACUCGGAAAGGUCAACUGAAACUGUGCGACUAGAGUGCGGAAGGGGCAACUGGAAUUCUUGGUGUAGCGGUGAAAUGCGUAGAUAUCAAGAGGAACACCUGCGGCGAAGGCGGGUUGCUGGGCCGACACUGACGCUGAAGCGCGAAAGCCAGGGGAGCGAACGGG